UUCCACAGGGUGGCUCUCCAGAGAAGAUGUCAAUCUAAGGGGGCAACUCUGUGUCAGACUUAGAUGCUGGUCUUUGCUUAUGGUACCCAGUCUGCAUCUCACACUGAUUCAUCCAGGGCUGCCUAAGAAAUGGUCCAGUGUCCUCAUGUCAGACACUGGGAUCAAAAUGAAGCCCACCCAGAUUCCAUUUUACACAUCUCAAUACUAGCAAAUGCCAGUUUGUAUUCUGGGUGAAAUGCGAUGUCUGCGUUAGACACCAUCAUUUGGCCUACUUCCUAACGAUCACAUGUGCUGACCACGAGGGCUCUAACAGCUGAAAGAUGGUGGCUUUCUGUUCCCUGUCCUCAUUUUCAUCUCAGAUGCUUGGCUCUUUCAGAAGUGAGGAAAACGAAGCAGAGAGAACUGAGAGAGCUCUCCCAAGACUGAGGCUGGGAAAUGCCUGGGGGGUCUUGAACUCCAGCACUAGUCCUUCCUGCUGCCUAAAUCAGAAAAGUCAAAAGAUUCCCGGGGGAGUUUACACGCAAAGGACACUUUAUGUUGCAGCCAAAGCUUCAAAUGUUAUGAUUUCUGCUAGACAUCGGGAUAGAAGGUGAUCUGUAAGUUGAAGGUGGCGAUUUCUCUGCCAGGUAUUCCUCCCAGCAGUCUGUUAACGGAUUCCUAAUAGGUUUAUAAUAAAAAAC